CCUACGGGCGGCAGCAGUGGGGAAUAUUGGACAAUGGGGGCAACCCUGAUCCAGCCAUGCCGCGUGUGUGAAGAAGGCCCUCGGGUUGUAAAGCACUUUCAGUGAGGAAGAACGCCUGGUGGUUAAUACCCAUCAGGAAAGACAUCACUCACAGAAGAAGCACCGGCUAACUCCGUGCCAGCAGCCGCGGUAAUACGGAGGGUGCGAGCGUUAAUCGGAAUUACUGGGCGUAAAGCGCGCGUAGGUGGCUUGAUAAGCCGGUUGUGAAAGCCCCGGGCUCAACCUGGGAACGGCAUCCGGAACUGUCAAGCUAGAGUGCAGGAGAGGAAGGUAGAAUUCCCGGUGUAGCGGUGAAAUGCGUAGAGAUCGGGAGGAAUACCAGUGGCGAAGGCGGCCUUCUGGACUGACACUGACACUGAGGUGCGAAAGCGUGGGUAGCGAACAGGAUUAGAUACCCCUGUAGUC
rnacentral:rRNA from 1 species